rnacentral:rRNA from 1 species
CCUACGGGUGGCAGCAGUGAGGAAUAUUGGUCAAUGGGCGGAAGUCUGAACCAGCCAUGCCGCGUGCAGGCAGACGGCUCUAUGAGUUUUAAACUGCUUUUGUACAAGGGUAAACCUGCCUACGUGUGUUCAUCUGUAAGUACUUUAUGAAUAAGGAUCGGCUAACUCCGUGCCAGCAGCCGCGGUAAUACGGAGGAUCCAAGCGUUAUCCGGAUUUAUUGGGUUUAAAGGGUGCGUAGGCGGAUUGAUAAGUUAGAGGUGAAAUGUGCGGGCUUAACUCGGGAACUGCCGCUAAUACUGUUGAUCUAGAGAGUAGAUGCGGUAGGCGGAAUGUAUGGUGUAGCGGUGAAAUGCUUAGAGAUCAUACAGAACACCGAUUGCGAAGGCAGCGUACCAAUCUAUAUCUGACGUUGAGGCACGAAAGCGUGGGGAGCAAACAGGAUUAGAUACCCCUGUAGUC